GAUGAACGCUGGCGGCGUGCUUAACACAUGCAAGUCGAACGAUGAAGCCCAGCUUGCUGGGUGGGUUCGUGGCGAACGGGUGAGUAACACGUGAGUAACCUGCCCUUAACUCUGGGAUAAGCCUGGGAAACUGGGUCUAAUACCGGAUAGGAGCGUCCACCGCAUGGUGGGUGUUGGAAAGAUUUGGCGGUUUUGGAUGGCCUCGCGGCCUAUCAGCUUGUUGGUGAGGUAUUGGCUCACCAAGGCGCCGACGGGUAGCCGGCCUGAGAGGGUGACCGGCCACACUGGGACUGAGACACGGCCCAGACUCCUACGGGAGGCAGCAGUGGGGAAUAUUGCACAAUGGGCGCAAGCCUGAUGCAGCGACGCCGCGUGAGGGAUGACGGCCUUCGGGUUGUAAACCUCUUUCAGUAGGGAAGAAGCGAAAGUGACGGUACCUGCAGAAGAAGCACCGGCUAACUACGUG
rnacentral:rRNA from 1 species